AUGGCGACCGGCGCACGGGUGAGUAACACGUAUCCAACCUGCCGAUAACUCGGGGAUAGCCUUUCGAAAGAAAGAUUAAUACCCGAUGGCAUAAUUAGACCGCAUGGUCUUAUUAUUAAAGAAUUUCGGUUAUCGAUGGGGAUGCGUUCCAUUAGGCAGUUGGUGAGGUAACGGCUCACCAAACCUUCGAGGGAUAGGGGUUCUGAGAGGAAGGUCCCCCACAUUGGAACUGAGACACGGUCCAA
rnacentral:rRNA from 1 species